rnacentral:rRNA from 1 species
GAUGAACGCUGGCGGCGUGCCUAAUACAUGCAAGUCGAGCGAACAGACGAGGAGCUUGCUCCUCUGACGUUAGCGGCGGACGGGUGAGUAACACGUGGAUAACCUACCUAUAAGACUUGGAUAACUUCGGGAAACCGGAGCUACUACCGGAUAAUAUAUUGAACCGCAUGGUUCAAUAGUGAAAGACGGCUUUGCUGUCACUUAUAGAUGGAUCCGCGCCGCAUUAGCUAGUUGGUAAGGUAACGGCUUACCAAGGCAACGAUGCGUAGCCGACCUGAGAGGAUGAUCGGCCACACUGGAACUGAGACACGGUCCAGACUCCUACGGGAGGCAGCAGUAGGGAAUCUUCCGCAAUGGGCGAAAGCCUGACGGAGCCACGCCGCGUGAGUGAUGAAGGUCUUCGGAUCGUAAAACUCUGUUAUUAGGGAAGAACAGAUGUGUAAGUAACUAUGCACGUCUUGACGGUACCUAAUCAGAAAGCCACGGCUAACUACGUG